GGCUGACAAAGGGAGGUCCUCCCUGUCCAGCCACUUGGCCAUGGGCUGAUUUCCUCCAUCCCUGCUUCUCUUCCUUUCAUCAAAUUCAGCUGAUACUUGAGGUCACCUAAUAGGUACUAAGCAGGCACCGUCAGGGCACAGAUGCUUAGGUGGUACAGAGCUAUCCAGACGCCCUGGGGACAGACCAGCACACCGGGACCUCCCUGGGGAAGCAGCAGUGUCACAGAGAUGGUCGGACACAAGCAAGGAGUAGCUGAGGGAGGAAGGAGAACGAGCCUGCGCUCUGAUGGUUCCUCCUGCGUCUGAGAUUUUCAAAUGCUGCUCCCCCUGGUGGCCACUCAUUGCCCUGCAACUCAGGCCACGUGAUUUCGGGGAAAUGGACCUCCCAGGAGGAGAAGUGAAACUUAGGGAGGGGACUGUAGAAACAGGGCGGAGUUACAGGAAGCUUCCCAGCCUGGAGCUCAGCUCAGCUCAGCUGAGCCCUGUAGCAGCCUGCACAGCCGCUCAGGAUGGCAUCGGGCCGGGCGCGCUGCACCCGAAAGCUCCGGAACUGGGUGGUGGAGCAAGUGGAGAGUGGACAGUUCCCAGGGGUGUGCUGGGAUGAUGAAGCUAAGACUAUGUUCCGGAUUCCCUGGAAGCAUGCAGGCAAGCAGGACUUCCGGGAGGACCAGGAUGCUGCCUUCUUCAAGGCCUGGGCAAUAUUUAAGGGAAAGUACAAGGAGGGAGACACAGAAGGCCCCGCUAUCUGGAAGACUCGUCUGCGCUGUGCUCUCAACAAGAGCCCUGAAUUUGAGGAGGUUCCUGAGAAUAGCCAUAGGGAUGGGGCUGAGCCCUACAAGGUGUAUCGGCUGCUGCCACCAGGAACCCUCCUCGCCGCACCAGCAACACAGAAAUCGCCCGCAAAGAGACACCACAGCUCAGUGUCCCCGAAGAGGGAGGAGGAUGAGGGUACCACAAAGAGCUGUAUACUCAGUCCUGCCUUGCUUCAGGACUCCCUCGAAAACGAGAAGGUAGAGGCCAAUGGAGCAGCAGGCCAUUCAGACUCUGGAUGCAGCAGCAGCUGCAGCAACAGCAACAGCCCUGAGCCUCAGGAAGGUGCAGACACAAAUGAGGCCCCUUUCCAAGGAGAUCCGGUGUCUCCGGAGCUUCUGCCCCCUCCAGACUCAGACUACUCCCUGAUGCUCACCUUCAUCUACGAUGGGCACGUGGUGGGCGAGGCCCAGGUGCAGAGCCUGGACUGCCGCCUGGUGGCCGAGCCCUCCAGCUCCCACUGCAGCAUGGAGCAAGUGGUAUUUCCCAAGCCCAGCCCGCAAGGACCCACCCAGCGCCUGCUGAGCCAGCUCGAGAGAGGUGUCCUGGUGGCUAGCAACUCCAGAGGCCUCUUUGUUCAGAACCUUUGCCCCAUCAGCAUCUCCUACAGUGCGCCCGAGUUCCCACCUGGUCCACGCCCGCACAAGCUGCGCAGCAACGAGUAUGUGGAGCUCUUCAAAACGGCCCACUUCUGCAGAGCAGAUCCACCAUCACAGUCCAUGGAUGGCACCCUGCACUUGCUGGUGCACAUCCUGUGAGGCCCUGUGCUCAGCCGUGGCAGCUGCCUGGCAGCCUUCCUUCUGCAGUCCAUGCCGCGGAAGAUGAGGCUCAGGUGGAGUCCAGCACAAGAGCAUCACAGCUCAGAGAGCACCAUCACAGGGACGUAUACAGUGAUCAUGGGAAGGUGCACCUCGUGGGCCUCUCCUACACACACGCGCACAUGCCCACACAUUCAGGAGAGCUGACACGUGUCACACACUCUGGCCCUACCACACCCCAGGCAUCCCCUCAAAUUACCCCUUUCCCAUCCACACUUGGAAUUCCAUUUCCUGCCUCCAUUCAGCUCUAAAUCUGGCCUUGGAAGGGGGGCCAGGAGUACAGGGACACAGAGCUUGAGUGUUUCCUGGGCCAUGGGUGCCCUGACACAGGCAAGAUAGUAUGAGCAGGCAACCAAGGUGUGCGAACAUGUGUGUGAGCAGCCAAGGCUGCUGCUGAGAAGACGCUAAACUCCCAGCAGUGAACAUGUCAGGUGGUGUAGAAUCGGCUACCGCUAAGUACUUCCUGCUGGAGGAAGGAGUACUUUUUCCUAUCUGCACAUGGGUGAGUACCACUUGGUCCUAGCAUUUCUCCUGCACAAGGCAGCAGGCGUGUGACCCUGUAGCUCCUGUUCUGGCCUUCAUCUCCAGGUGGCCCCACUGCCACCUCUCUUUCUCCAUUAUGGGUUCUUCCCUGUUCCCUCCCUCCCUGCCUAUGGCCCUCUCCCUUCUCUUUUUAUUCUUCCAACUCUUACCUUCUCUCUUUCAGACUUGGAGAGGUACUUCCGGGGCCUGGGCCCCCCACCCAAGUUCCAGGUGACACUGAAUUUCUUAGAGGAGGACCCUGACCCCAGCCACACCCCACAGAGUCUUAUCUCAGUUCAGAUGGAGCAGGCCUUCGCUCGGCAUUUACUGGCAG